rnacentral:lncRNA from 10 species
GCCUGCUGUUGUUAUAAGGAGAUACAUGUGACAGCAGGCAUGCCUGCACACAGAAGAAAGACCACGUGAGGAUACAGUAGGAAGGCAGUCAGUCAUCUGCAAGCCAAGGAGAGAGGCCUCAGGGGAAACCAAACCUACCAACACCUUGAUCUUAGACUUCUAGCCUCCAAAGCUGUGAGAAAAUGCAUUUCUGUUGCUUAAGCCACUCAGUCUAUGGUAUUUUGUUAUAAGAGCUCUAGGAAACUAAUAUAUACGUAUUUAUUGGAGUGUAAGCUAGUUGUUCAAAACAUUUUUUUCUUUCUCUCUUUAUCAUGUAUUUUGCUUAUUCAUAUCUUUUCUUUUUUUCUUAACCUUGCUAGAGAUUUUUCUGUCUUAUUAAGAGUGAACCAGACCUCCUGGUUCAGAUCCUGGCUCUGCUAUUACUGGUAGUGUGAACUUUGACAAGCUACUCAACUUCUCUUAGCUUCUUUUUCCUCUUUUGUAAAAUGGGGAUAAAUAUCCUCAUGUAUAUAUCUUUAAUAUAUAAAUAAAUAGGAAAAACAGAAAAUCUACUCAAACCUAUAAAUUUCCUCUGCCUUAGCGACUUCCAGUAAAUUUUGAUAUGAGAUACUUUCGUUAUCAUUCACCUGUGGGUAUUUUGUAUUUUCCUUUUAAAUUAUCAUUUACUGCAAGGGUUAACUGGCACCCUGUAUUCCAUUUUAUUUUGUUUCCAGAGAUAGGGAGUGUUUUGUCUCCCUUCCAUUAUAUCUUAGCUUCACUCUAGUCCUUACUGGAUACAUCUGUCUCCAUGCAGCUCCUGGUUCAUAGACACCAUAUCUUCUUGUACUUUUCUGAGGAUGCCAGACUAUUUCUUAAAUAUUUUUCUGGAUCCCAGACUAGCUGGUUUUCACAUGUGUAUUCUUCCUCAAAAACCAUCUCGAUACGGUUUUUCUUUGUUGCACAGUAUCUUUUUUUUUUCUACCAUAGGAAUUGUUUUAUUUUUCUUCUCUACUUCUUGAACAAGGCAAGACCUAUUAAAGCUCCAGGUUUUCAAUAGGUAGGUGGAUGGAGUUUCUGUUGGUCCUGCUCAUUGUCCAUUGGUGUGGUGGUUGACUACUUUUCUCAAAUCUAGAACUGAAGGGUAGAUUGACAGGCACUGCUCGCAUUCUAAACCCUAGAUUCUAGCUGGCUUCCUUCUGGCCUGCUUCUGUUUUUCAUGGGUUAACACGUUUCACGUUCCUUCCACCUGACAGAGUUGUUUUUUUGUUUGUUUGUUUGUUUGUUUUUUGUCUUGUUUUGUUUUGUUUUUAGUGAGCUAAACUGAUUACAUACCUACUAAGAUCAAGUUUCUUUUUCAACUUAAACCUUCAGGACUGUAUUCCUGGGAAUUGCCUUCUUAGAAAGCAGUGAAUGCUGCUGAUUGUCUUCUACUUUCUGCCCAGUUGUUUUGGAGGAUUUGUGGUUUAGUAUCUACCUGGCAUUAAGAAGAUGACAGUUGAGUUUGAUGACGGAUAUACAGAAGAUCAGGAAAUAUGUACUCUGUCUUAGAAAGCACUUUUAGAAAGGCAUACAGGGCUUCCUCAAAACCCAUUUUCUUUAUUGUCUGAACAAGUGAAGAAGUGUAAACUACUGCUCUACCUCUGGUCAGGUAGAUGUCUCUGGAAGCGAAGCUGGUAUAUGCCAGAUACGCUUUGGAAAUUGCUUCAUGAUAUGUCCUAUCUCUAUCAUUUUCUUACAUGUUACUCUGGGGACAAGUUUAUUAACCUCUCUGCCUCUCUCGGUUUCCUCACCUGUACAAAGGGGAAGUGUACCUCUAUGGGCUAUUAUAAGGCAUAAAAGUCAUAAUCCAUAUAGAAUACUUAGAACUAUGCCUAGAUUCAUAAAUGUUCCAUGAUCAUUAUUUAAUAAUGCUGCUGCUGCUGCUAUUGUAAAAAAAAAUAUGUCCUGUACUAAGAGCUAUGGGACUUAGGUGCAUUUCUAUCUCCUCCAACUGAAUAAUCCUGAGCUUUAUUUUCCUCCCUGUGCCUUUUUCCAUUUGUAAAAUUACAGUGUUGGGAUAUACAAUCUCCAAAAUCCUGCCUGCUCUGACAUACACACCGUGGAAGCUGUAGCAUCACUUUGCUUCAUGAAUCCUCUGGGAUUGGAAAUUCUUUAUAAGACUGUAUUAAACAAACACAACUCUUUCUGAAUCCUGCAAAACGAAACUGGACCUGGGACAAGUAUUUUAACACAAAGUUCUAUUUGUCCUCAAUCUUGUUUGGCCCUGACCAAAUGUAGGGUGUGAUUUUUUUCUUCUCCACUCCUUCUUACACAAGGCAAGACCUACUCAAACUCCAGGUUUUCAACAGGUGGGUGAGCUGAACAGAUUAAGUACCCACUAAGAUCAAGUUUCUUCCUUUCAACUUAAACUUCAGGACUGAACUCUAACUGAACUGCAGACGAGCAAGCAUAGGAAUGUGUAUGGAAUAUGAGCCACUUUGAUAUUGAAGUUGGCAUGCAGCAAAAGCUGACUAAAUACAUCUCCCUGAAGCAGAGGUCCACACAAAACAAUUUGGGAAAAUGAGCUCUAAAAGCCUUCAAAAGACCUCUUUCUACCUACCAUAAUUAACCAGUGUUUAAGAAAACAUGGCAGCCUUUUAGAUGUAAUAUAAUUUUACAGUUUUCAUUGUGAUUCCCAUAUUUAUAUUCCACAUAAUAGAGUGAGUUAGGAUGGACGGCCCCAUUACCCAACCAAAGGGGGACUUGGAGAGCCAAUAAUUGGCAGAGAUGUCAGUGGGACCCAGGUCUCCCAAAUCCUAGCCUGGGUGUUUUUCCACUAAACUUGGUCUUCCUCUUAGUUUUUAUAAGAAGCCCUUCAAGCUCUUGCACAUAUUUAGGUCAAAAUUACUACUUUCAGACCUAUUGUCUGAUUUGGAAGGAAAUCUUGUAAUUACAGGAUGACUUCAAAACAAUAUUCAAUUGCAUAAUAGGAGUGUGGGUUGCAUGUUUUGAGCAUUAAUAAUACUAAGAAGCCUUCCAUUUAUUUGGUUGAACAAAAAUAGUAAUCCAAUGUCCACUACCCAAAAUGGCCCAAGUAACUAUAAAAGCUACUCUAAAGGGAUGAAGAGCUGUGGGAAAUGACUAAAUAGCACUGAAAGCAGUACUCUGCUCUUUAAAAGUUCAAAAAUUAGGCAAUCUGGGUGAGAGAAAGAUGUGAUCUAAAGGAAACAGGACACAGCCCUGAACAAAUUCCAGAACUCAUAAUGUGGUCAGGUUAUACAAUCAAGUGCUAAAACCAAUUUUGGGGCAUUGCUUUAAAAAGCAUUCCUGUUGAACCCAUUUGAGGGCAGGUGGCCUCUUCAGUAUGGCCUUGCACUUGUGUAUGGCACCUGCCCUUGGCCCCAGGCACAGUGUACACUCCUUUGGUGUUGCAAGUGCCUGCCACAGAGAUCCCAGGUGGCAUUCAAGGGAUGACUCAAGGUCCCACCCAUUAAAAAUAUACCUUCCACAUGGCACUGCCUUACCCUUCGUGUAGAAGUGGAAAUAGUACAGCAUUUCUGAAGGGCACUUUGACAGUUGUAUUCAUUCAGGUAUCCAUCAUUGGACAAAGAGAUACUAAGCUACCUCUCCAUGCCAGGCACUCUGUUAACGACUGUAGAUACUGAAGUGAGCAAAGUAGACAAAAAUCUCUGCCCUUAUGGAGCUGACAUUCUAGUAUGUAUGUGGAAGUGGGGCCACGGGGAGGUGGGGAGAUAAGUUACUCUGAGGAAGCAAAGUAAAUUAAAAAGUAAUUAAUAAAUAGAAGGUAAGAAAUUCUUUGGAGAAAACUUAAGCAGUAAUGAGGACAGGGAAUGGAGGUGGGUAAGGAAAGAUCUCACUGAUAAGGUGAUACCUAUCCUAAAAUUAUGUCUAAAAGAUUAUAGCUACAAAAAAAGAAGAAAAACUGAAUGGAAACACAUAAAGUGCAAUUUGUGGUUAUCUUUAGAAGAUAUUUGCGGCAAUUUUCUGUACUGUGUUCUGCAUAUGUGUGCUUGUGUGUUUUUAAUUAGUUGGAAAUUUUGACAAUGUACUCUGGCAUCUUUAUUUCUUAAAAGACCCCACCAAGCAAUUCUGAGGCACAGUAAAAUAUAAAAUUGUUUUCUUCGCACCUUACAUUUUAAGUUCUAUGCUCAAAAAGAUUCUAGUAGUUCUGGGCAUGCUGAGUUCAACAUUUUAAGUUAUACGUAUUUUUUAAUUGCCCUGCAAUUCCCCUCAAUUGGGUUACUGAAGAAUUAUAUGUAAAUAUCUCAUAGUGCAUUGUGAGAAAUGAGUUAUGUAAUCCAUGUAAAGAGGUUAGCAUCAGGCUCAAUAAAUGUUUAGCUGCCAUCAGUGUUAUUAUUGUUAGAGGCUUAGUGGAGAACUUGCUGUUUGAUCUGGACCUUGAAAAAGAAAUGGGUAAAGGAUGUGGAUAAAGGUCAGAGGGUGGAUUAUCCAGGCAGGAAAAAUACAUUGGCAAAAACAUGAGGAAUGACCUCAUUGUGAGCAAAGGGAAGUCUCCCUUUCAUUCAGUAGACCUUUACUGAGCUAUUGGACCACAAGCUCCGGGAGUUCUGAGGCUAUGUCCACCCCGUUCACUGCUUUAUCCCAGCACUUAGUACAGCACGUUACACAAAAAGAGCUGUAAAUAUUUGUUGACUGUUCAAAGUAUUUUAACCACCACUAAAAGCAUGUUCAUUUUAGAUGUGUCCUCAGGCAGCUUCUGUGACAUCAGUUGUCAUUUUAAUAAAGAGCUAACCAGAGCCACUCUAAGAAAAUGAGUUCACCAAGAUAUAUUCAAGCUACAAUAAAAUGUAAUAAUUUUUGGAUUUGUAUGCAAUAACAACUCAUUCAUCUAGUAUGGUUAGGAAAUUAGUAACUUAUUUAUAAUGGAAACAUCCCUUUAAUGCUAAAGGUUUUCAAUUCUAUUUUAACCAAGUUGGAUGGAAAUAUUUUUAAUUUGGGGGGUUUUUUGUUUUGUUUGUUUUAACACAGGGUCUCGUUCUGUCACCCAGGCUGGAGUGCAGUGGCGUGAUCAUGGCUCACUGCAGACUCAACCUCCUGGGCUCAGGCAAUCCUCCCACCUCAAGCCUCCCGAGCAGCAGGGAUUACAGGCACACACCACCAUGCCCAGCUAAAUGUUUGUAUUUUUGUACAGAUGGGGUUUCACUAUGUUGUCUAAGCUGGUUUCGUAAUGGUGGGCUCAAGUGAUCCUCCUGCCUCUGCCUCCCAAAGUGCUGGGAUUACAGGUGUUAGCCACCAUGCCUGGCCUAUUUUUAAUUUUUAUUACAAAUAUCUGUGGCUUUUUGAACACUGCAUAUAGAACAAAAUUGAUCCCUUUAAUGAAUCUGUGUCAGUUAUGAAACACAAGCUGUGAGCAGCCAAAGACCACCUUUGACUAACAUAUUUUAUUAGAAUGUUUUAAAGUAGUCUUCCAAAUUAAAAGAAAAUUGGACAACCAGUCUUGAAAAGGUCAGGGACCAUGCAGCUCCAGGGUUCUACGUGGAAGGGAAGAAUUCAGGAUACCACCAUAAGGAUGAGCCAGCCCAGUAGCUUUGUGUUGGCUCUGCUCAACAUCCAAAUUCCUGCAAAAAGGUGACUGACUUGUCUUGGACCAUAAGCUCAGCCUUGUUCAGGAGAUGGGAAAGCUCCUUACAUGAUGGUUCCUUUGGAACAGAAUACAAAUUGGGAAGGGUAAUUUUCUGAAGAAAAAUCAUAGUGCUGCCUCCAGAGGAGAGCAGAAUGAAUGCUGAGCAUGUGAAAACACGGAAGUCCAACACAAUAAUGAAUAAUCAUUUUGAACAUCAAUUAUAGUAUUAACUUGUAAUUCAGUAAUGUUCUUGAAAACUGAUGUUUAAGGCUAUCUUUCCCCUUUAAUUAGUGGUCUCAGGCUUCUUUACUUUUUGAGUUUCUAAUUUUUAUAAUUCUCUUGUCUUUUUUUUUUUCACCUUUCAAAAUGAUUAUUUUCUUGCUACUUUUUUUUUUUUUUUUUUUUUUUGAGAUGGAGUCUCGCACUGUCGCCCAGACUGGAGUACAAUGGUGCGAUCUCGGCUCAGUUCAACCUCCACCUCCCAGGUUCAAGCAAUUCUCCUGCCUCAGCCUCCCAAGUAGCUGGGAUUACAGGUGCACGCCACUACGCCUGUCUAAUUUUUUGUAUUUUUAAUAGAGACAGGGUUUCACUAUGUUGGUCAGGCUGGUCUCAAACUCCUGACCUCGUGAUCUGCCCGCCUCGGCCUCCCAAAGUGCUGGGAUUACAGGCAUGAGCCACCGCACCUGGCCUUUUCUUGCUACUUUCAAUUUACCCACUUUGGGCAGUCUCCAUCCACUUUCUUCCUCUAUUUGGCUGUGGACUGGGAAAUGAAAUAAACAAGCUUGUUAGAUGUGUGUAUGUAAUGGGACUGUGAAUAAGUAUGAGUCUAUGAGUAAAGCACAUGAUAAAUGCAUAGACUUGGUGUCAUUUACAUUGACUGCUCAAAGACUUCUCUUGCUAAUGUUUAGUUGUUUAGCUACUUAGAUAGUGACCAGAUGAGGAAUUUCUCUGUAAAUGAUAUGCUACCAAUUAUAAGAACACAUGUCCUUUUUAUAAUUGCUUUAAAUUCAUUUUCACCAUAUCAUUGAAAGGAAGGAGAGGGCAAAUAUUUGCUCAGUUUUAAAAGUAUGAAAAAUGGAGCCACAGAGGGCUUAAGUACACUGGGGAAAGGCUAGUGCUGAGCCCCAGGUGUCCUGGUUUCCAUUUUAGAAGUUAGUUAAUAGAUUCAGCUAUGUCAAUAUCAGGAGAUGUACAGAAUCAUAGGUCAAAGACAGCUUAAAACUUCAGAGAUCACUAGGGGAUACAACAAGUGUAUGAUAUAGACAGAAAAGCACAGGGAAAAUUACAUAUGUGACUGUAAAACACACAUACGAAGCUGUUAACAGCACCCACAGAUGGGAACAAACAUUGAUUUCCCUGUUCAAUCACUUUUAGCAACAACUUGGAUAAAGAUACUGAAAAUAUGUUUAACAAUUGCAGGUGACACAAAAUUGAAAAAGAUUACCAGUAUAUUUAAUGAGAGAACCAAGAUCCUGGCUGAAACUACUGGCUAAAAUGUAAUAUUGAUUAGACAACAUGAAUUUUUCAAUUUCUUAUAAUUAUAGCUAACAUUCUAAUUUACAAACAUGAUGUAGGGGAAGUCUUACUUGACAACAAUCAUACGGGUUUUGGUUUGCUGCAAAUAAAGAAAUAAUAAUACCAUUUAUUGAAGAUAGUGCCAGCAUCAUACUAAGUGCUUUAUAUGUACUAUGUCAAGUCUCACAAUUCUAAAACAUAGGCAUCAUCAUCAUCCCCACAUUGUAAGUGAGAAACUGAUAAUUUGAGAAGUUAGAUAAAAUGCCCCGAAUCUGACAGCUAAUGAAUGUUGAAACCAGGUGUCAAAUCUACCUAAAUCCAUGUCUUAACCAAUAUGCUGCUGUUAUUAUGUAAAAAUAAAUGCCAUUAUUAAAAGAUUCAAGGAAGUCUCUUUGUACUACUCAUUUUAAUUGAAGUAUGUGAUUGUCA